rnacentral:tRNA from 1 species
GCCACCAUAGCUCAGUGGUUAGAGCACUGGUCUCGUAAACCAGGGGUCGUGAGUUCGAAUCUCAUUGGUGGCU